rnacentral:rRNA from 1 species
UACUGACGCUCAGGUGCGAAAGCGUGGGGAGCAAAAGGAUUAAAUACCCUGGUAGUCCACGCCGUAAACGAUGUCUAUUAGCUGUUCGUGGUCUUGUACUGUGAGUAGCGCAGCUAACGCACUAAGUAGACCGCCUGGGGAGUACGGUCGCAAGAUUAAAACUCAAAUGAAUUGACGGGGGCCCGCACAAGCGGUGGAGCAUGUGGUUUAAUUCGACGCAACGCGAAGAACCUUACCUACUCUUGACAUCUAGCGAAGAUUGCAGAGAUGCAGUUGUGCCUUCGGGAACGCUAAGACAGGUGCUGCAUGGCUGUCGUCAGCUCGUGUUGUGAAAUGUUGGGUUAAGUCCCGCAACGAGCGCAACCCUUAUCCUUAGUUGCCAGCACGUAAUGGUGGGAACUCUAGGGAGACUGCCGGUGAUAAACCGGAGGAAGGUGGGGACGACGUCAAGUCAUCAUGGCCCUUACGAGUAGGGCUACACACGUGCUACAAUGGUACGUACAGAAGGGAGGCAAGCUGGCGACAGUGAGCGGAUCUCUUAAAGCGUAUCC